rnacentral:rRNA from 1 species
ACACUCCUGCGGGAGGCAGCAGUGGGGAAUUUUGGACAAUGGGGGCAACCCUGAUCCAGCAAUGCCGCGUGAGUGAAGAAGGCCUUCGGGUUGUAAAGCUCUUUUGUCAGGGAAGAAACGGUAGUAGCGAAUAACUAUUACUAAUGACGGUACCUGAAGAAUAAGCACCGGCUAACUACGUGCCAGCAGCCGCGGUAAUACGUAGGGUGCAAGCGUUAAUCGGAAUUACUGGGCGUAAAGCGUGCGCAGGCGGUUGUGUAAGUCAGAUGUGAAAUCCCCGGGCUCAACCUGGGAAUUGCAUUUGAGACUGCACGGCUAGAGUGUGUCAGAGGGGGGUAGAAUUCCACGUGUAGCAGUGAAAUGCGUAGAUAUGUGGAGGAAUACCGAUGGCGAAGGCAGCCCCCUGGGAUAACACUGACGCUCAUGCACGAAAGCGUGGGGAGCAAACAGGAUUAGAUACCCCAGUAGUCCCAUGA